AUAGACUGGUAGUUUAUUGAGUUGAUCUCCAUUUUGAGAGGGUGCACUUGGGAAGUCCACUGAGGCACUUGUCAACUCAGGGCCAAUUAUGCAAGGAUACCCUUUAGUUCGAUGUUGAAUCGUUUCACUCAGACAGUUUAAAGUUGUGCAAAAGCUACACCGCCAUUUGUCUGGUUCGGGAAAAUCGGUAAAUGGGUGAAAAUAAGCAGAACAAAUAGGGUUGUGACAUUGAGCGAUUGUAGAUUCUACUCUUUUAGUUUGCGUUUUACCACCGAACGGUUGAAAGAACAUGGCAAAUGGGAUACCAGACAUCGUAAGGACAUCUGGGUUUCUCGGGAUUUGGGUCAGGGUCGAACGAACGACAUUUGGUUUGCAAUUGGCGGCAUCGAGAAUGUCCGGUUUUUUAUGACUCGCAUCAACGUUGUCACUCAACUUCGUUUUGUUUUGAAAGAGGUCUUCGUGUUUAGAAAAAUUGGGAAAGGCUUUACCUCCAACGUAGUUACAUUCCGGUUGUUGAGUGAUUACAGGAGAUUUCGAAUCAAAUAAAUAAGGAUUAUUGAUAACUGGGUUACGACGUCCGCUUUGCUGAUAAGGCAUUUCUUUUGAUCCUGCGAAUGACUUGGAAAUAGAGAACGACUUGCUUGUGGUCAUGUCGAAAUGAUGGGAGUAAUUUUCAAGAUCUCUCUCGUCAGAACAUUUCCGGGUAAACGGCGCUGCCUGUUAUCGCUGGCCUGAUGUUGAACCAUUUUGCGUGCAGUUUCCAACAUUAGACCGCUCUUUCUGGAAAUAACAACUAAUCUUUUUGGAUUAUGUGCCCAAAAUUACGUUCUUGGAUUGUUGCAAACAGAGUCAAGCUGGAGCGCGGAAUCAUCCCAUAGUGCUUAUUUGGUGAUGGUAAACCUUGAAAAGUCAAUGGUAUUUGUAACACGACAUGGGGGCUAUGAAAAGCCAUUGAGAGGUAUUUUGGAAGUUAAGCAGAUCAAAAGGGUUAAUUCUUUGGUAUCGGGGAUGCUUGUGAUUAGGUUUUAUUCGUGAAACUUGGAUUGCAAAGGAUACUGACCGUUUAGUGAUGUCAUCAGUGAUGCAAAUCCUAUGUGUUGGAAUACCAUCAUCUGAUUCUGCUACUCUAUAUUCAUUCAUCAUGUUCUAACUGCCAGGCUCUUCUUCCUUCCCAUGAAAAAAGACCAUCAUAAGUCUGGCCUAUAAGUUUUACCUCAAUCAAGCAAUCAAAUUGAGAAAAAGAGAAAGGAACAGAAGGCCCCAACAGAAAACUAACGGGGACUUGGAGUAAUUCACCGUUGCUGGGUUUAUCACCCUGUCUUUGCCACGCCCGUCUCCAACUCGCCCGUCACCCGUUGAGAACUCGCCCAUCGGUCUGUCACCGCCUCGCCCGUCACCCUGCCAUUGCUUCGCCCGUCAUCCCGUCUUCACCUCGUGGUCAUGGUCGCUCCGUCAUCGUCGUCAUCUUCAUGGUAUCGUUGUGUUAUGUAAUGUGUAUAAUGUGUAUUGUUAAUUAACCCGUUGG